rnacentral:rRNA from 1 species
CCUGGCUCAGAUUGAACGCUGGCGGCAUGCCUUACACAUGCAAGUCGAACGGCAGCGCGGGGCAACCUGGCGGCGAGUGGCGAACGGGUGAGUAAUAUAUCGGAACGUACCCUGGAGUGGGGGAUAACGUAGCGAAAGUUACACUAAUACCGCAUACGAUCUAAGGAUGAAAGUGGGGGAUUCGCAAGAACCUCAUGCUCCUGGAGCGGCCGAUAUCUGAUUAGCUAGUUGGUGGGGUAAAGGCCUACCAAGGCAUCGAUCAGUAGCUGGUCUGAGAGGACGACCAGCCACACUGGAACUGAGACACGGUCCAGACUCCUACGGGAGGCAGCAGUGGGGAGUUUUGGACAAUGGGCGCAAGCCUGAUCCAGCAAUGCCGCGUGAGUGAAGAAGGCCUUCGGGUUGUAAAGCUCUUUUGUCAGGGAAGAAACGGUGAGGGCUAAUAUCCCUUGCUAAUGACGGUACCUGAAGAAUAAGCACCGGCUAACUACGUGCCAGCAGCCGCGGUAAUACGUAGGGUGCAAGCGUUAAUCGGAAUUACUGGGCGUAAAGCGUGCGCAGGCGGUUUUGUAAGUCUGUCGUGAAAUCCCCGGGCUCAA